GGAGUCCUGAGCCCUAGGGCCCUAGAACUCACCACAGGACCCCACUGUGGGUUUUAUGGCUGUGGCUGUCUCUGUCCAGAACUAGAAGGAUACUCCGGAUGCCACAACUGAGCCUGAUCAUCCCAGAGGAGUAGACCUUAAGGAAGAGGUCAGAUGCUCUAGGCACCAGGAUGUUGUCCACGAGAGUGACCUGAAAUACCCCCACCUGCUCAAGUGGACUUGGCAGGAGCCCCUUCCCCUCCUCCAUCAGGGCAUGCAGCCUAAAGCCCACUUAAGGGACAAGACCGGAGCCUGAUCAAGGGGGAACUGGAG
ensembl:lncRNA